rnacentral:tRNA from 1 species
CGGAUGGAAGCCCGCUGGGUAGGGUUUUUAGCUGUUAACUAAAGUUUCGUAGGAUCGAGGCCUGCCCAUCCAG